rnacentral:rRNA from 1 species
CCUACGGGAGGCAGCAGUGGGGGAAUCUUGCGCAAUGGGCGAAAGCCUGACGCAGCCAUGCCGCGUGAAUGAUGAAGGUCUUAGGAUUGUAAAAUUCUUUUCACCGGGGACGAUAAUGACGGUACCCGGAGAAGAAGCCCCGGCUAACUUCGUGCCAGCAGCCGCGGUAAUACGAAGGGGGCUAGCGUUGCUCGGAAUUACUGGGCGUAAAGGGAGCGUAGGCGGAUAGUUUAGUCAGAGGUGAAAGCCCAGGGCUCAACCUUGGAAUUGCCUUUGAUACUGGCUAUCUUGAGUAUGGGAGAGGUUAGCGGAACUCCGAGUGUAGAGGUGAAAUUCGUAGAUAUUCGGAAGAACACCAGUGGCGAAGGCGGCUAACUGGCCCAUUACUGACGCUGAGGCUCGAAAGCGUGGGGAGACAAACAGGAUUAGAUACCCUGGUAGUCCACGCCGUAAACGAUGAGUGCUAGUUGUCGGCAUGCAUGCAUGUCGGUGACGCAGCUAACGCAUUAAGCACUCCGCCUGGGGAGUACGGUCGCAAAGAUUAAAACUCGAAAAGGAAUUGGACGG